rnacentral:rRNA from 1 species
UGGGGAAUAUUGCACAAUGGGCGCAAGCCUGAUGCAGCCAUGCCGCGUGUAUGAAGAAGGCCUUCGGGUUGUAAAGUACUUUCAGCGGGGAGGAAGGGAGUAAAGUUAAUACCUUUGCUCAUUGACGUUACCCGCAGAAGAAGCACCGGCUAACUCCGUGCCAGCAGCCGCGGUAAUACGGAGGGUGCAAGCGUUAAUCGGAAUUACUGGGCGUAAAGCGCACGCAGGCGGUUUGUUAAGUCAGAUGUGAAAUCCCCGGGCUCAACCUGGGAACUGCAUCUGAUACUGGCAAGCUUGAGUCUCGUAGAGGGGUGUAGAAUUCCAGGUGUAGCGGUGAAAUGCGUAGAGAUCUGGAGGAAUACCGGUUGCGAAGGCGGCCCCCUGGACGAAGACUGACGCUCAGGUGCGAAAGCGUGGGGAGCAAACAGG